AACGAACGCUGGCGGUGCGUUUUAAGCAUGCAAGUCGAACGGCAAGAAGGUGCUUGCACUUUCCUAGAGUGGCGGACUGGUGAGUAACGCGUGGGUGAUCUACCUUUAAGAUGGGGAUAGCUUUUAGAAAUAAGAGAUAAUACCGAAUACACUUACGAUGUUUUGACAUUGUAAGAAAAGGAGCGUUUGCUCCGCUUAAAGAUGAGCCUGCGUCCCAUUAGCUAGUUGGUGAGGUAAAUGCCCACCAAGGCAAUGAUGGGUAUCCGGCCUGAGAGGGUGACCGGACACAUUGGGACUGAGAUACGGCCCAAACUCCUACGGGAGGCAGCAGCUGAGAAUCUUCCGCAAUGGACGAAAGUCUGACGGAGCGACACCGCGUGAAUGAUGAAGGCCGAAAGGUUUGUAAAAUUCUUUUGCAGACAAAAGAAAUAAAGGGAUA
rnacentral:rRNA from 1 species